rnacentral:snoRNA from 1 species
GGGCCAAUGAUGAGUUAUUAUCUUGAGGAGAAAUGAUGACGUAAAAAUCAAGCUUAGUUGGAUAACGCUGAGGCCA